GAUGAACGCUGGCGGCGUGCCUAAUACAUGCAAGUCGAGCGAACAGACGAGGAGCUUGCUCCUCUGACGUUAGCGGCGGACGGGUGAGUAACACGUGGAUAACCUACCUAUAAGACUGGGAUAACUUCGGGAAACCGGAGCUAAUACCGGAUAAUAUAUUGAACCGCAUGGUUCAAUAGUGAAAGACGGUUUUGCUGUCACUUAUAGAUGGAUCCGCGCCGCAUUAGCUAGUUGGUAAGGUAACGGCUUACCAAGGCAACGAUGCGUAGCCGACCUGAGAGGGUGAUCGGCCAAACUGGAACUGAGACACGGUCCAGACCCCUACGGGAGGCAGCAGUAGGGAAUCUUCGGCAAUGGGCGAAAGCCUAAGGGAGCAACGCCGCGUGAGUGAUGAAGGUCUUCGGAUCGUAAAACUCUGUAUUAGGGAAGAACAAAUGUGUAAGUAACUAUGCACGUCUUGACGGUACCUAAUCAGAAAGCCACGGCUAACUACGUG
rnacentral:rRNA from 1 species